rnacentral:tRNA from 1 species
UCCCCUGUAGCUCAAUGGUAGAGCGGAAUCCUGUUAAGAUUAUGGUUGUAGGUUCGAAUCCUACCGGGGGAG